AAGCAGAAAUACUAGAGGAAAUAUCUUGACUUAUAUUAAAGGGCCUUUGAAAAUGUUAUUAAUAAACUGGUAUUAGAUUUGGCUGUCUAAGAAUAACCUACAAAAAACAUACAUUAGCGUUUGGGAAAUGUUCUGUGUUUGUUAUGAUGGUUGAAGGUGCCAUUUCUUGGCUCCUCAUACUAAACUAAAUAUCAUAACCAGGGAGCUAUUCUGAUAUCAGACUCAUUGCCAACUGUUGCUCCCGGAUGUGUCACAGCAGAAACCAGAUCUGCAGGUCUGAAGGGCAAGUCUGCAGAUCUGCAUUGCCGAAGGAAGCUUCAUCAGAUCCGCGGAAGAACUCAGAUGUAUCUGGUUUAAUCAGUGCGCCGGGAGAGGAGAUGCCAGCUCGUAUAGCAGCUCUACGGGCCUCAGGGGCUGGAAAGUGCUGAUGAACACUGUUGUCCGGAGAGGUGCUGGCCUGACGGGAUGAAGGGACGGAGGAAUAAAGCGAGAGCAGUGUGGUGUUCUCAUCUCUUCAGAUCUCAGCACAAAGGCAGUAUGACAGAGAUGAAUCCCUCCCUCUCCCGGACCCUCGCCCCCCCGAACUCCAGGCCCGCUGCUGGGGACGCCUUUGUUCACUUCCCUCCAUUAUGUGA